rnacentral:rRNA from 1 species
UCCUACGGGAGGCAGCAGUAGGGAAUCUUCCGCAAUGGACGAAAGUCUGACGGAGCAACGCCGCGUGAGUGAUGAAGGCUUUCGGGUCGUAAAACUCUGUUGUUAGGGAAGAACAAGUGCUAGUUGAAUAAGCUGGCACCUUGACGGUACCUAACCAGAAAGCCACGGCUAACUACGUGCCAGCAGCCGCGGUAAUACGUAGGUGGCAAGCGUUAUCCGGAAUUAUUGGGCGUAAAGCGCGCGCAGGUGGUUUCUUAAGUCUGAUGUGAAAGCCCACGGCUCAACCGUGGAGGGUCAUUGGAAACUGGGAGACUUGAGUGCAGAAGAGGAAAGUGGAAUUCCAUGUGUAGCGGUGAAAUGCGUAAAGAUAUGGAGGAACACCAGUGGCGAAGGCGACUUUCUGGUCUGUAACUGACACUGAAGCGCGAAAGCGUGGGGAGCAAACAGGAUUAGAUACCCUGGUAGCCCACCCCCUAAACAAUGAAUGCUAAAUGUUAGAGGGUUUCCGCCCUUUA